AUUUAAGGCGCCAUUUUUAAAAGUCCGUAUGUCAGUACACAAGCAGAAUCAAAAUGGCGAUUGGAUCUUUGAUGUCGUUUAUAUAAAUUUAUAAAACGUAUUGAAGAAAAUUUGAUCGUUAUGAAAAUGAAUUCGAAAUGAUGAGUUACGGACUUUGAAGGAGAAAAAGGGACGUAGCGGUAUGUGUUGGAACGGUAUGAGUGGAAUGGACUGGAAUGGGAUACGCUCAACGAUGCGAGAGAUGGAACAUUUCUACUUCUGAGAAGCCGCGUGUUAUGCGAUCGUUGCCCAUUCAAUGGCGUAGCCAUUGUAUGAUGCCGGGAAGAACUCCUACUCCGUCUCAGUUUGAAGAAACGAAAACUAACAGGAAAUAUAAUAUGUAAUAUCUCUUAUCGGAAUCGACGAUACAUAGAAGAUAUAGAUUAUUUGAAGAAAACAGUAACAUUUGCUUAUUCAAAUGCUCAACGAAAGAGCGCUUUACCUCUGAUUCCGUAUAUUAUCGGAGAAUGAAAAUAUUUUAUUAAAUGUCACCUUAUUUGUUUACUUCACUUACCUGUUCUUCAUGAUUGUAAAGAAAUAAUGACCAAGUAUCGUAAGAUUUUGAAAUCGAAAGUUCAUCGGUAUCCUCUCCCGGAAAGAUAAAUAAAUUAGGGAAGAAGCACACACGUUUAUCUUAUCAAAAUGAUGAAGUAUGAGAAUUGCGA